rnacentral:rRNA from 14 species
CCUGGCGGCUGUAGCGCGGUGGUCCCACCUGACCCCAUGCCGAACUCAGAAGUGAAACGCCGUAGCGCCG